rnacentral:rRNA from 1 species
GAUGAACGCUAGCGACAGGCUAAACACAUGCAAGUCGAGGGGCAGCAUAAAAGUAGCAGUACUUUGGUGGCGACCGGCGCACGGGUGAGUAACGCGUAUGCAACCUACCUAUCAGAGGGGAAUAACCCGGCGAAAGUCGGACUAAUACCGCAUAAAACAGGGGCACCGCAUGGUGAUAUUUGUUAAAGAAAUUCGCUGAUAGAUGGGCAUGCGUUCCAUUAGGUAGUUGGUGAGGUAACGGCUCACCAAGCCGACGAUGGAUAGGGGAACUGAGAGGUUGGUCCCCCACACUGGUACUGAGACACGGACCAGACUCCUACGGGAGGCAGCAGUGAGGAAUAUUGGUCAAUGGGCGGGAGCCUGAACCAGCCAAGUCGCGUGAAGGAAGAAGGAUCUAUGGUUCGUAAACUUCUUUUGCAGGGGAAUAAAGUGCAGGACGUGUCCUGUUUUGUAUGUACCCUGAGAAUAGGGAUCGGCUAACUCCGUGCCAGCAGCCGCAGUAAAAC